AACGCGAAGAACCUUACCAAGGCUUGACAUGUUAGGAAUCUUGUAGAAAUAUGAGAGUGCUAGCUUGCUAGAACCUAAACACAGGUGCUGCAUGGCCGUCGUCAGCUCGUGUCGUGAGAUGUUGGGUUAAGUCCCGCAACGAGCGCAACCCUUGUCCUUAGUUGCCAGCGGUUCGGCCGGGAACUCUAAGGAGACUGCCUGGGUAAGCGGGAGGAAGGUGGGGAUGAUGUCAAGUCAUCCCGGCCCUUAUGCUUUGGGCAACACACGUGCUACAAUGGGACGUACAAAGGGUCGCAAUCCCGCGAGGUGGAGCCAAUCUUAAAAACCUCUCUUCAGUUGGGAUUGUAGUCUGCAAAUUGGCUACCAGAAUCGGAAUCGCUAGUAAUCAUAGAUCACCUAUGCUACAGUGAAUACGUUCCCGGGUCUUGUACACACCG
rnacentral:rRNA from 1 species